UACGUAGGGGGCAAGCGUUGUCCGGAUUUAUUGGGCGUAAAGAGCGUGUAGGCGGCCACACAGGUCAGCUGUGAAAACUCGAGGCUCAACCUCGAGACGUCGGUUGAAACCGUAUGGCUAGAGUCCGGAAGAGGAGAGUGGAAUUCCCGGUGUAGCGGUGAAAUGCGCAGAUAUCAGGAAGAACACCCGUGGCUAAGGCGGCUCUCUAGUACGGUACUGACGCUGAGACGCGAAAGCGUGGGGAGCGAACAGG
rnacentral:rRNA from 1 species